UACGGAGGAUCCGAGCGUUAUCCGGAUUUAUUGGGUUUAAAGGGUGCGCAGGCGGGAGAUUAAGUCGGCGGUGAAAUUUUGCAGCUCAACUGUAAAAGUGCCUUCGAAACUGGUUUCCUUGAGUGUAGAUGAAGUAGGCGGAAUUUGUGGUGUAGCGGUGAAAUGCAUAGAUAUCACGAGGAACUCCGAUUGCGCAGGCAGCUUACUAAACUACUACUGACGCUCAGGCACGAAGGCGUGGGGAUCAAACAGGAUUAGAUACCUCCGUAGU
rnacentral:rRNA from 1 species